CUCUUGGGGCAUGCAGGGCACUGAAAUGGCCUCUCGCCUGUGUGGGUGCGCAGGUGUUUGUUCAGAUGACUCUUUCGUGAGCAGCUUUGAGGGCACGAAGGGCACUGAAAUGGCCUCUCGCCUGUGUGGGUACGCAGGUGUUGGUUCAGAAUGGAUUUUUGUGA
rnacentral:lncRNA from 1 species